rnacentral:rRNA from 1 species
GUCUUUUUGUAAUUAUAUAUAAAGUCUAACCUGCCCAUUGAUAAAUUUUAAAAGGCUGCAGUAUAUUGACUGUACAAAGGUAGCAUAAUCAUUAGUUUUUUAAUUGAAAACUUGUAUGAAUGGUUGAAUGAAAAAUUUACUUUUUUAAAUAAAAGAAUUGAAUUUUACUUUUUAGUUAAAAGGCUAAAAUAUAUUUAAAAGACGAGAAGACCCUAUAGAGUUUUAUAAUUAAUUUAUAUAAUUUUUAAGGUUUAUUUUUUAUAAUAUAAAUUAAAUUAUUUUAUUGGGGUGAUAAUAAAAUUUAAUUAACUUUUAUAAAUUUUAAACAUUGAUAUAUGAAUAUUUGAUCCAUUAGUAUUGAUUAAAAAGUUAAAUUACCUUAGGGAUAACAGCGUAAUUUUUUUUUGAGUUCUUAUUAAUAAAAAAUUUUGCGACCUCGAUGUUGGAUUAAGAUUAAAUUUAGGUGCAGUAGCUUAAAUUUUAAGUCUGUUCGACUUUUAAAUUCUU